GCGAAUGGUGGAUGCCUUGACUGGUAAAGGCGAUGAAGGACGUACUAGACUGCGAUAAGCUACGGGGAGCUGUCAAGAAGCUUUGAUCCGUAGAUUUCCGAAUGGGGCAACCCAAUGUAUAGAGAUAUACAUUACCUAUAUAGGAGCGAACGAGGGGAAUUGAAACAUCUUAGUACCCUCAGGAAAAGAAAUCAAUAGAGAUUGCGUCAGUAGCGGCGAGCGAAAGCGCAAGAGGGCAAACCCAGUGCUUGCACUGGGGGUUGUAGGACUGCAAUGUGCAAGAGCUGAGUUUAGCAGAACAUUCUGGAAAGUAUAGCCAUAGAGGGUGAUAGUCCCGUAUGCGAAAAACAAAGCUUAGCUAGCAGUAUCCUGAGUAGGGCGGGACACGAGGAAUCCUGUCUGAAUCCGGGUCGACCACGAUCCAACCCUAAAUACUAAUACCAGAUCGAUAGUGCACAAGUACCGUGAGGGAAAGGUGAAAAGAACUGAGGUGAUCAGAGUGAAAUAGAACCUGAAACCAUUUGCUUACAAUCAUUCAGAGCACUAUGUAGCAAUACAGUGUGAUGGACUGCCUUUUGCAUAAUGAGCCUGCGAGUUGUGGUGUCUGGCAAGGUUAAGCAAACGCGAAGCCGUAGCGAAAGCGAGUCUGAAUAGGGCGCUUAGUCAGAUGCUGCAGACCCGAAACGAAGUGAUCUAUCCAUGAGCAAGUUGAAGCUAGUGUAAGAACUAGUGGAGGACUGAACCCAUAGGCGUUGAAAAGCCCCGGGAUGACUUGUGGAUAGGGGUGAAAGGCCAAUCAAACUUCGUGAUAGCUGGUUCUCUCCGAAAUAUAUUUAGGUAUAGCGUUGUGUCGUAAUAUAAGGGGGUAGAGCACUGAAUGGGCUAGGGCAUACACCAAUGUACCAAACCCUAUCAAACUCCGAAUACCUUAUAUGUAAUCACAGCAGUCAGGCGGCGAGUGAUAAAAUCCGUCGUCAAGAGGGAAACAACCCAGACUACCAGCUAAGGUCCCUAAAUCUUACUUAAGUGGAAAACGAUGUGAAGUUACUUAAACAACCAGGAGGUUGGCUUAGAAGCAGCCAUCCUUUAAAGAAAGCGUAAUAGCUCACUGGUCUAGUGAUUUUGCGCGGAAAAUAUAACGGGGCUAAAGUAAGUACCGAAGCUGUAGACUUGCGCACAACUUAGAUUAUUUAAGUUUAGAAUAUGAGAAACUAAGUUAUAUUUUUACUGAUUUUUAUAGAGUAAAGAUAGAAAUAAAACUUAGUAAAAUCAGUAAAAAUAUUCUUAGGCUAAAGUUAAGUAGUUUAAGUUGUGUGCAAGUGGUAGGAGAGCGUUCUAUUUGCGUCGAAGGUAUACCGGUAAGGAGUGCUGGAGCGAAUAGAAGUGAGCAUGCAGGCAUGAGUAGCGAUAAUUAAUGUGAGAAUCAUUAACGCCGUAAACCCAAGGUUUCCUACGCGAUGCUCGUCAUCGUAGGGUUAGUCGGGUCCUAAGUCGAGUCCGAAAGGGGUAGACGAUGGCAAAUUGGUUAAUAUUCCAAUACCAACAUUAGUGUGCGAUGGAAGGACGCUUAGGGCUAAGGGGGCUAGCGGAUGGAAGUGCUAGUCUAA
rnacentral:rRNA from 1 species